UUAUCACGUGGCAAUAUCAUAUCGCUGGAGACCUAUUUUUUUGUAGCGACUAUCGCGGUGUGACAAAUAUUCGAGCGUAAGGAACACUCGAAAUAUAAACAAAAUAGAGACGUCACUAAACUUUAUUUAUUUCCAAAGAGGGAAAAAAUAUUGAUAAAAUCUACGAAAAACAAAAAGAAAUGAUCAUAGUAACCAAAUCAGGUUCGGGAUUCAGUUAUGCAAGGGGAAGGUAUUAGUAUCCAUCACAUCUGUUGUA
rnacentral:lncRNA from 1 species